rnacentral:rRNA from 1 species
UACGUAGGGUGCAAGCGUUAAUCGGAAUACUGGGCGUAAAGCGUGCGCAGGCGGUGAUGUAAGACAGUUGUGAAAUCCCCCGGGCUCAACCUGGGGAACUGCAUCUGUGACUGCAUCGCUGGAGUGCGGCAGAGGGGGAUGGAAUUCCGCGUGUAGCAGUGAAAUGCGUAGAUAUGCGGAGGAACACCGAUGGCGAAGGCAAUCCCCUGGGCCUGCACUGACGCUCAUGCACGAAAGCGUGGGGAGCAAACAGG